GAUAACUGGCUUAUGGCGGCCAAGCGUUCAUAGCGACGCCGCUUUUGGAUCCUUCGAUGUCGUUUAUUCCUAUCAUACAGAAGCAGAAUUCGGUAAGCGUUAUAUUAUCCACCCAGUAAUAAGGAAUAUGACCCGGGUUUAGACGGUCGUGAGACAGGUU
rnacentral:ncRNA from 1 species